AAGAAGCUCAGAGUCCCGUCAGUGGAGCCUCCAUGGGCUACGGCAGCGGAGGAUCCAGUCCAGACCACCGACACCACGAUGUGGAGGCGCUGGGCUCUGACGAUGAAUCCUGUGAUGGUAGCAGUAGCACACGGCCGAUCUGUGAUUCUGGGAGUGUUCCGCAUCAGGACGUCUGGAGGAGAAGCUCUGAGACGCUGACGGACGGCAACAAUGCAGGGUCUCAGAUGAGAGCUGAAGGAAGCAUCGCAGCAUGCUUGCACAGCCAGAAGUCCUCUAGCAGGAUAGACUCUGCAUUUCCCCAUCAGUCUGGCAGAUCCAGUGUGGCAGUGAAGCCCACGGUCAGCGGCAUCAGGCCCCUGAUGGAGGACGCAGGUGACCCCGAUCGUCCAGAGCAG
ensembl:lncRNA